ensembl:lncRNA
AUGAUGCUGAUCAAUGCUGGAUUGGUCUAUUUCUACAUCACAGCUCUGGAAAAUGAAAAGGAUCGUGUCGGAUGGACCUGUGUGAUUGUGUUUUUCCAGUCUCUCUGGGCACUGGUCAACUUCGCAUGCUCAUUUAAUGAUUACGCUCUUGCUCGUGUUGUAGCUGUGUAUGUGUUUGGAUCAGUCGGUGUUGUGUUACUGAACUCUGUUGCUCUGAUGACUGAACUGAUCCUCAAAACAGGUGAAUGAACACUUGAUCAUCACACACUACACAAUUACUGUCAUAUAUCUGCAUAUUAAUGUGUAUUAUAAAUUAAUACAGCAUUUGAAUCUGAACUGAGUGAGGGGAAAUAUUUCACUGUGAGACAGAAAUCAGCUUCAUCUCAAAGUUACUCUGAUCAGAUUAUUCUCAUUUCCAUACGCAUACAUUAAUAUGGAGCAAUAAUACACAAUAAUAAUCGACUGUCAGGCUGUUUAUGAAUGUAAUUUGUUCUUGAGGACGGAUCGUGUCCAGUCGGGCCGGGUCUGGACUCAGUCACUGUCUGCAGUCAGCAGAAAAAUCACAUUGUGUGUGGUGUCUAAAGGUUAUAAACUUAGAGUUCAAAAACCAUUCGUUUUCGCAAAUAUUUUUUUAAACAUGUUUAAUAUUUGUGACUGAGACUAUGAAGAUGCGUUCACUGU